GAGAGCGUAGCUCAGUUGGUAGAGCAACUGACUUUUAAUCAGUAGGUCCAGGGUUCGAACCCCUGCGCUCUCACCA
rnacentral:tRNA from 3 species